rnacentral:rRNA from 1 species
CCUACGGGUGGCAGCAGUGAGGAAUAUUGGUCAAUGGGCGCGAGCCUGAACCAGCGAAGCCGCGUGAAGGAUGACUGCCUUCCGGGCUGUAAACUCCUUCUACAAGGGAAUAAAGUGCGGCACGUGUGUCUUUUUGUAUGUACUUUAUGAAUAAGGAUCGGCCAACUCCGUGCCAGCAGCCGCGGUAAUACGGAGGGUCCGAGCGUUAUCCGGAUUUAUUGGGUUUAAAGGGAGCGUAGAUGGGUUGUUAAGUCAGUUGUGAAAGUUUGCGGCUCAACCGUAAAAUUGCAAUUGAUACUGGCAGCCUUGAGUACAGUUGAGGUAGGCGGAAUUCGUGGUGUAGCGGUGAAAUGCUUAGAUAUCACGAAGAACUCCGAUAGCGAAGGCAGCCUACUAAACUGCCACUGACGUUGAUGCUCGAAAGUGUGGGUAGCAAACAGGAUUAGAUACCCGUGUAGUC